AGUAGCCCUUAAUUGUUGUCCAAAUAAGCUGUUGGUUGCGUCUAUAAUUAGUUGAUGUUUUGUUACACCACCACUACAAGUUUUUGGCUAUUUUGCUCUUAGUUGUUGCACCCUUUUUGAUGUCGAUUGACCUUGUGAAUUUAUUUGCUUCAAUUGUGAACCGUAGUUUGUUUUUAAUCGAUGUUAUAAUCACAUUCCAUGCCUCUUUAAGAUUAAUUUGGUUGUUUUAAGUUCCGAGGAAUUGCUUCCCACUUGAUUUGAGAUCGACUUUGUUAUUAUAUAAUAAUCCCACCCAGGGUCUGACCCGGUAUAAUAGAAAUAGAAAGAGACGGACUUCAGACGAUUGGGGGAUCCUCCUCAUGCCUCUACUUAGGGACCUUCUUCCCACUUUUUCUAGGGCUCCUCCGAUCUUUCCAUUUCUGUUGAUAAAUUGUAUCAACAAUUGGUACGGUGAAUGUGGAUCGAACUCGCAGCCUGAAGAGUUCACCGUUAUUUGUGAUGUUGACGUUCCCGUCAUCAUCUUCUCCAGCACUGGUAAAUUCUUUGGGUUCUUCAACUCUGGUUCAAAAGCAGUAGAUGAGAAACAUGCAGAAGAGACAUAAAUCGACUAUUUCUUGUCAGAGCUUGGGUCCAUUGAAGAAUGGUGGGGUUGUUGUAGGAAUUGAUAUUAAGAGCAGAAGGAAUUUCAACUCGGAAGAUAGCUUUAGCGACGACGACUUGAAUGUCGUAAGGCAUUAAUGAAACUGGUUGAGGAAGCAAAAUUACAAGGUGAGGGAAAUUGAGAAUCGUGAAUUCACCUUUGAUGCUUAAAGUUGUUACAUCAUGAGCGCGUACUGCCAUUUCUAGGGUAGCAAAAGUGCCAAGCCAAAUGCGGGACUUCUUGCGGGGCUCAAGAAUUUCGGACACCCAUUUGUCCCAACUCCUCAUUCUCAUCCCUCUGUAGAUCGAGUGUUUGCUGAUUGAUGAUCUUUUGGCUUUGCUGUUAUCUCCCAUGGAUUCACGACCUGUCCAGGUAAUAGUUAGAUCGAAGAGUUCGUGAUCAAGUAACAUCGCCAAAUAUUCUCUGCAAUUUGUAUUUCGUGAAGACAUUAUCACUUAGUUUUAGCCUUGGCAUUGAUCUGCCACUAUUCGUUGUGGAAAAUUGAGCUCUUUUUUGACAAUUAAUGAGCUUAUAUCAAGUAAUUUGUUAUUGUUUUAGUUAGAUUCUCAAUUUAGUACUUCUAUAUUUGAAUUCAAUAAAAUGAGCACUUUAAGUUUGUUUUA